UUGUUUUUUUAUUUAUUGUUUUUCUUUUGCCUUUUUUAUAUAUUGUUGUGAAAAAUGUAAUAUUUUUAAAAUAUUACAUUUCCUCAUAACAAUAAUUACUUUUUAUAACGACAAUAAUUACUUGAGCAAAUAACUAUUACUUUUAUUCAUGCGAAUUUGUACUUUUAGUUAUUUGAUCAAAUAAUUAUUAUUGUAAGAAAAAGUAAUUAUUGAUAUGUAUAAAAGUAAUGUUACUUUUACUCGUUAG
rnacentral:lncRNA from 1 species